AAAAUCGUAACAAGGUCUCCGUUGGUGAACCAGCGGAGGGAUCAUUA
rnacentral:rRNA from 2 species